UAGUCAGAUGUGAAAGCCCCGGGGCUCAACCCCGGAAGUGCAUUUGAAACUAAGGGACUUGAGUAUGGGAGAGGGAAGUGGAAUUCCUGGUGUAGAGGUGAAAUGUCGUAGAUAUCAGGAGGAACACCGGUGGCGAAGGCGACUUCCUGGACCAAUACUGACGCUGAGGCGCGAAAGCUUGGGGAGCAAACAGGAUUAGAUACCCUGGUAGUCCACGCUGUAAACGAUGAACACUAGGUGUAGCGGGUAUUGACCCCUGUCUGUGCCGCAGCUAACGCAUUAAGUGUNCCGCCUGGGGAGUACGGCCGCAAGGUUAAAACUCAAAGGAAUU
rnacentral:rRNA from 1 species